UACAGAGGGGCAAGCGUUGUUCGGAAUUACUGGGCGUAAAGGGCGCGUAGGCGGCCUUCUAAGUCGAACGUGAAAUCCCUGGGCUCAACCCAGGAACUGCGUCCGAUACUGGAAGGCUUGAAUCCGGGAGAGGGAUGCGGAAUUCCAGGUGUAGCGGUGAAAUGCGUAGAUAUCUGGAGGAACACCGGUGGCGAAGGCGGCAUCCUGGACCGGCAUUGACGCUGAGGCGCGAAAGCCAGGGAGCAAAGCGGG
rnacentral:rRNA from 1 species